rnacentral:rRNA from 1 species
GUUGAACGGCCACAUUGGGACUGAGACACGGCCCAGACUCCUACGGGAGGCAGCAGUGGGGGAUAUUGCGCAAUGGGGGCAACCCUGACGCAGCAACGCCGCGUGAAGGAUGAAGGUUUUCGGAUUGUAAACUUCUUUUAUUAAGGACGAAACUUGACGGUACUUAAUGAAUAAGCUCCGGCUAACUACGUGCCAGCAGCCGCGGUAAUACGUAGGGAGCAAGCGUUGUCCGGAUUUACUGGGUGUAAAGGGUGCGUAGGCGGCUUUGCAAGUCAGAUGUGAAAUCUAUGGGCUCAACCCAUAAACUGCAUUUGAAACUGUAGAGCUUGAGUGAAGUAGAGGCAGGCGGAAUUCCCCGUGUAGCGGUGAAAUGCGUAGAGAUGGGGAGGAACACCAGUGGCGAAGGCGGCCUGCUGGGCUUUAACUGACGCUGAGGCACGAAAGCGUGGGUAGCAAACAGGAUUAGAUACCCUGGUAGUCCACGCUGUAAACGAUGAUAAGGAGGUGUGGGGGGUCUGACCCCUUCCGUGCCGG